rnacentral:rRNA from 1 species
AACGAACGCUGGCGGCAUGCCUAACACAUGCAAGUCGAACGAGACCUUCGGGUCUAGUGGCGCACGGGUGCGUAACGCGUGGGAACCUGCCCUUAGGUUCGGAAUAACUCCCCGAAAGGGGUGCUAAUACCGGAUAAUGUCUUCGGACCAAAGAUUUAUCGCCUUUGGAUGGGCCCGCGUUGGAUUAGCUAGUUGGUAGGGUAAAAGCCUACCAAGGCGACGAUCCAUAGCUGGUCUGAGAGGAUGAUCAGCCACACUGGGACUGAGACACGGCCCAGACUCCUACGGGGGGCAGCAGUGGGGAAUAUUGGACAAUGGGCGAAAGCCUGAUCCAGCAAUGCCGCGUGAGUGAUGAAGGCCUUAGGGCUGUAAAGCUCUUUUACCCGGGAUGAUAAUGACAGUACCGGGAGAAUAAGCUCCGGCUAACUCCGUG